rnacentral:lncRNA from 1 species
CCGGCCCCCGCGCCCGCCCCCACGGCCCGGCCGGGGACCCCGCCCCGCGCUUCCGGGAGGGGGAGGGGAGAGGCCGGUGGCCGCGCGGGAGCCCUAGGCCGCAGCCGCCGCCUGUCGGCCCGGCCCGGGUCCCAGCUGCUCCUGCGGCGCUCCCACGCCCCCGCGGGCGGGCGGCGGGGCCGGGAGGGGGCCUCGGCUGGGGCGGGCGCCGGGAGGGACCGAGUCGGGGCCGGAGGCUGGCCGCGUGCCCACCGGGCCGGCGCCGGGGCGAGCCUGGGCCGCGGCCCCCUCUUCCCGCCAGCCAGCCCACCCCGCCCCGGCGGCCUCUGGGAAAACGCGUCCCGGGCGAGCCCCUGAGGGCAGGAUCGGAGUCGGGGGCACCUGGGGAAGGAGAGCGCCCCGUGGGGCCUCGGCCGGUGGCCUGUGCCAAAAGGCCGGGCAGAGCUGCUUCGGUGUCUGGGUGAAGUUUCCAGCCAACCCAAGAAGGAAACCGAAAGGGAAGAGGCCGAGAGAGAGGUUAAUUCCUAGUGCUUUGGUUACCGAAAACAGCCCGGCUGGGACUGCUGGGCUGGGAACUUAGCUAAGCAGUGCGGAGGCUGAACCCCACCAUCUCUGGGAUCCGCAGCAAAUCAGAAGCCCCCACCCACGAUAAGGGGAAAAUGGGGCGCAGAGGGCAGGGAGGAAGGGAAGAGAAUGGAAGGAAAGCGCGUCUGGACUUUGAACUGCAGCCCUCUCCCUCUUUCCCUUGCCUCGGAAGCUCCAGGCCCACUCAGCACCAGUUCUGUCUCCUCUUUUCAGCCGCCUUCUCUCUAGCUACUGAGGGGAAAAGUCAGGAUGAAGCGGGUCCCUCGGCCUCCAGAAGGUGUUUUAUUACAGUCGCAAACAGGUAGAGCGGCAGCCACCCCAGUGAUGACUCCCUGCUCCUUAGAUUGUAGGGACGCUGGCACCUCACUCAUGCUCCUAAGUGGCCAUUUUGCGCCCUGGCUGGGCGAGUUAGGCAGACAAAAUGAGCCCCCAAAAGUUUAAAGGCCUCCACCAAAGGAGUAUUUCUUUUCUGAGGUGUCAUUGUAUUCCAUCCACGAACUUCAGUUCCCCCGGGUGCUCUGGAUCUGACAUGGAGUAGGAUGCUAACAUCUAAUCCCUUCUUUCCCUUUGGAAAGAUGCAUGUUUUUUCUCGGAGUCCUAGGGAAUACCUUAGAAUACUUUCAUGGUUGUCAUUGGUACACCCAUCCCUUGAGGAGCCCUGCCACCCGUAAGUAGGACUGCAAGGAAAUACAAAAUUAAGAGAAGUAUGAACCCUGAUACCCAGGAACUUAAAAUCAGGUGUAUAAAUUUUGUACACCUAAAAAAUAUGGUACCUAAAGAGGCGAACAGCAAAACAAGCAAGAAUGUGAAUCUUUAAAAUGUUUCUAUUCUUCAGCGCAGCCCAGGAAUUCUACCUAAAGUAACAUAUCCUAAGGCAACAACCAAGAAGUGUGGAAGAAUGCAUGUAAGAAGACACAGUGAUGUUUAGAAUCCUGGGGAAACGGAACAGCCAAAAAGUCUCACAGAGGUUAAGUAAAUAAUAGCAUUUUCAUACGAGUACUAUGUAGUCAUUUAAAAUUAUGUCUUUCAGUACCUAGUAAUGGGGAAAAUGUAUUCAUUAUAUAUUAUUAAAGAAAAUACAGGGUACAAAACACUGUAUAUAGACUGAUCUCAAAUGACUAUAUAUAUAUUAAUAUAUAUGGCCUACAGACACACAGUCAUGUAUUGCUUAACAAUGGGUAUACAUUCUGAGAAAUGUGUUCUUAGUUGAUUUUGUCACGUGAGCAUCAUAGAGUGUACUUCCAGAAACCUAGAUGGCAUAGCCUACUACACACCUAGGCUAUAUGGUAUGACGUAUUGCACCUGGACCACAAACCUGAACAGCAUGUGACUGAAC